rnacentral:rRNA from 1 species
AUUGAACGCUGGCGGCAGGCUUAACACAUGCAAGUCGAGCGGAGAUGAGGUGCUUGCACCUUAUCUUAGCGGCGGACGGGUGAGUAAUGCUUAGGAAUCUGCCUAUUAGUGGGGGACAACAUUCCGAAAGGAAUGCUAAUACCGCAUACGUCCUACGGGAGAAAGCAGGGGAUCUUCGGACCUUGCGCUAAUAGAUGAGCCUGAGUCGGAUUAGCUAGUUGGUGGGGUAAAGGCCUACCAAGGCGACGAUCUGUAGCGGGUCUGAGAGGAUGAUCCGCCACACGGGGACUGAGACACGGCCCAGACUCCUACGGGAGGCAGCAGUGGGGAAUAUUGGACGAUGGGGGGAACCCUGAUCCAGCCAUGCCGCGUGUGUGAAGAAGGCCUUAUGGUUGUAAAGCACUUUAAGCGAGGAGGAGGCUACUGAGACUAAUACUCUUGGAUAGUGGACGUUACUCGCAGAAUAAGCACCGGCUAACUCUGUGCCAGCCGCCGCGGUAACAC